rnacentral:rRNA from 1 species
CAGUAGCCGCGGGAAUACGAAGGGUGCAAGCGUUAAUCGGAAUUACUGGGCGUAAAGCGUGCGCAGGCGGUUGUGUAAGACAGGUGUGAAAUCCCCGGGCUUAACCUGGGAACUGCGCUUGUGACUGCACAGCUAGAGUAUGGCAGAGGGGGGUGGAAUUCCACGUGUAGCAGUGAAAUGCGUAGAGAUGUGGAGGAACACCGAUGGCGAGGGCAGCCCCCUGGGCCAAUACUGACGCUCAUGCACGAAAGCGUGGGGAGCAAACAGGAUUAGAUACCCGCGUAGUCCCUGUCUCUUAUAA